ensembl:miRNA
AGGUUGAUGCAAAAGUAAUUGCAGUUUUUGCUAUUACUUUUAAUGGAAAAAACCACAAUUACUAUUGUGCCAACCUGAUAU